CAUUAUUUAGCUUAAUUUAUGGUUUUUACCUUGUUUUUACAGAAAAGGAAGAAAUUGGAAAAAUGGAGAAAAAGUGCAGAAAAUGACAGAAAAGUGAUUGGGUCAGUGAUUUGCCCAGAUCAAGCUGAAGCAGAAACCUUGAGGCAACAGGCAGAAGUGAUAUGGGCAAGUGAUCUGCCCAAAUCACUCGCAGAGACAGAGAUAGAAACUGGACUGAAUCCCAGAGAGCGAUUGGGGCAGAUUGGGCAAGUGAUCUGCCCAAAUCACUCGCAGAAACUGCCCAAAUCACCUUGACAGUAGAAAUUGACAGCAGAGGCGGGAAAACAGCAGGGAACCAAAUUUCGAAUUUUUAGAAGUCCAAAUCCAACUCAAUCACUACCAACACAAUUCCAAGAGC
rnacentral:lncRNA from 1 species